UCCGAGUUGACCCCGGCAGUCUCAUAUGAGUUCCCACCAUUACGUGCUGGCAACAUACGACGAGGGUUGCGCUCGUUGCGGGACUUAACCCAACAUCUCACGACACGAGCUGACGACAACCAUGCACCACCUGUAUACCGACCUUGCGGGGCGUACAUUUCUGCACGUUUCCGGUAUAUGUCAAGCCUUGGUAAGGUUCUUCGCGUUGCAUCGAAUUAAUCCGCAUGCUCCGCCGCUUGUGCGGGCCCCCGUCAAUUCCUUUGAGUUUUAGCCUUGCGGCCGUACUCCCCAGGCGGGGCACUUAAUGCGUUAGCUACGGCGCGGAAAACGUGGAAUGUCCCCCACACCUAGUGCCCAACGUUUACGGCAUGGACUAC
rnacentral:misc_RNA from 1 species